UUGAGAUCUGAGGGGAAGUGAAUGGAGGGUUUUAAGGUAGGGCAAAUCAAAUUCAUAACUAAUAACUACAUAAUUGCCUUUUUCAACCUAAAAAAAAGAAAUCAAAAUCCAAACUUUGUAAAUCUUGUUAUAAUGUCUAAAAGGUCUUUUCCCAUUUUGUGUUUUCUCUCUCCUUUGUCACGCAUGUUCAAGUUUUGGUCUCUUUUGGUUUGUCCCUAUCAUUGCUCGUGUCUUCCAUCGUUUUCAUGCCAUCGUGUUGGCUCUCGACCGUGCUUGCUCUUCAUUGUUGUUGCUUACUCUCCCUUCUUCAGUCUCUUCUAUUUUUUCAUUUUUUGAUGAGGAUAACAUGCUGGUGGUUGCAACGCUCAUUUCUUUGUUCGUGAUUAGCCAAUUUGUGUGAUUCUCUUCAGGUGUGUUCAUCAUUGUUUUGGUUUUUUAUUUUUAUUUUUGUUUUUAAUUUUAGAUUGAUUGUUCAUUAUAUUAUGCUCUAAUUUUUGCGUUUUUAGGAGUGUUCACAGAGAGAAAAGGAAGGGUUAAGGUGUGUUCAUCAAGGUGGGGCAUUUGUAGAGGCGGGAGGAAGGACUUGGAGGCAUUCGUAGAUAGGGUUUGUGGUUUAGUGUGGCAAGAAAGGUGGUGACGAUGGUGAAAAUUAGAGAGGACAGAGAAUCAAAGAUAGUUAAAGAUGAUCUUGGAGACCAACACCCAACAUUCGAAAUCCAUUGAGGAGGGCAAGAGGUGACACCUUGAAGGAUCCAAGAGGAAUGUGCUAAACAUGAAGAUUUUGGGCCAGACAGAGCCCAAUGGGCUUGAAAGGCCCAAGUUGAUCCUCACAUGGGCCCCACCUUGAGAUAUCUACUUUAUUCUAUGUUGUAUACAUUAUAUUAGUAUAGGUUUUAUAUGUUUUAGUCUUGUAUUUUGGACCACAUAGAUUAGCAUUUUUGGGCCAUAGGCUUAUUGGACCUAUUUUUAGGCUUCAUGGGCCUUUGGGCUUUUGGUACCCAAUAUUGGGUUCAUUUUUUUUCUUUUAUUAUUUCCUAAUGUUUGUAUUUGGUUGGCCAUUGUAUUUAGGCCCUUAGAAUAUGAAUAUUGAAGGAAUACUAAAAUAGGCCAAGAAGCUAAAAUCUAGGUUUCAUUUAGUAGUCAUUUAAGAUGCAUUUGGAUCACAUGUUUCUUGCCAAACAUGGAUGAACAUGUGCACCUCCAAAUACACUUUAAAUGUCUCCUAAAUGACAUUUAGAUGCAUGGCAGCCCUAGUUUCACAAAAUUGUACAUGGUGGCCAUGGAUUUGAAUUCAAAUUUUCAUUUGAAAUUUGAAUUCUUGGCACCAAAUUUGAUUUGUGAAGUUGGUGCCACCUAGCUUGCUUUCGGUUCUAUAAAUACAUGUUCCUUCACUCUUUGUAAACACUUUUGAACACUUUGAAAAAUCUGAAUUCUAUCUUCAGGCAUUUCUCUCUCAGAAGUCCCUUGGAACCUUGCUUAGCCUUAGGAAUUCCUAGAACUUCUAGGUGGAUCCGUGAGCAAUCCUUUGCUCUUCUAGGCUAGAGUGCUUCCUUCCUUGGUUUGGAUCUGUCCAAAUCCGAAUCCAUCUUCAUUUCUCCUCCAGAAUUGCAAUCAAGGACGAAGAUCUUGUGAGGAGCAAGGCUAGGGAGAAUCAUCCAUUCAUCUUUCCUACCUAGUUCCAUCAUAAUGUGAUACUUCUACCCAAGUGGUUUAAUUUUUAUUUAGUAAAAUAAUUUGAACAAUCCCUUUUAAGAAUUAUUGAAAUGUAUACUAUGAUAAUAUGUAGGAUAGAGAGUGUC